GGAGAAAAGAUUGAAAGAAAGGGAAGCCAGAAGAGAGGCCAAUAAGAGGCAAGCAAAGGCCAAAGAUGAAGAAGAAGCCUUUCUGGAUUGGAGUGAUGAUGACGAUGAUGGAUUUGAUCCAAGCACACUUCCAGAUCCAGAUAAGUACAGAAGCUCUGAAGAAUCAGAUAGUGAAGAAAUGGAAAAUAAUAUUAGUGAUACCAAGAAGAAGCAGGGGAUGAGGAAAAGGAGCAACAGUGAAGUGGAGAACACGGGACUCACAAGUCGUAACAGAAAGAAGGCCAAGUGGGAAGUCUUAGAGCCGUUGGAUACGGGCCUGUCUUUGGCAGAGGAUGAAGAACUGGUGUUACAUCUGCUCAAAAGUCAAAGCUAAAUGCUUCCUGCUUCAUCUUCUCAAGACCUCUGGUCAUGGUUAUGUGGACAAGAAGUUGAAAAGCUGUCGGCUUUGGGGAAGUCAGAUAACGUGAGUCCCAGGCCCAAAGGAUGCAUUCCAGGCAGAAGUGAAAGUCCCUAAGCCCCUUUCACAGCAAACUCCGAGUGAGGGUGGAUCCUAAACGUCUUGAUCCCCUUUCCAGCAUGUGCCCUGGUAGAUUGUUGUCUUGGGCUUUAACCUGUGACAUCUUGUCACUGGAAAUGCUUUCUUUGUUUUAAUAGCAAGUUCUGGAGACCCUGUCUCAUUGUUAGGAAUUUCUUUUCUUCUUAUCUUACAAAAGUGUCUGUGCUGUUAAAUAAAAUUGCUCGCAGUUUUGAUUAUUUAAUAUCUUCAAAAGACAGAAUACAAUGGACCAGCCCUAAGAAAGACUGAGUAUUUUUGAAUUAAGAUGAUUAAUAAUAAACAUAUUUCCUAAAAAA